GCAUGGGGGCGAGCCUGAUGGAGCACGCCGCGUGAGUGAAGAAGGAUUUCGGUUCGUAAAACUCUGUUGUAAGGGAAGAACAAGUACAGUAGUAACUGGCUGUACCUUGACGGUACCUUAUUAGAAAGCCACGGCUAACUACGUGCCAGCAGCCGCGGUAAUACGUAGGUGGCAAGCGUUGUCCGGAAUUAUUGGGCGUAAAGCGCGCGCAGGUGGUUUCUUAAGUCUGAUGUGAAAGCCCACGGCUCAACCGUGGAGGGUCAUUGGAAACUGGGAGACUUGAGUGCAGAAGAGGAUAGUGGAAUUCCAAGUGUAGCGGUGAAAUGCGUAGAGAUUUGGAGGAACACCAGUGGCGAAGGCGACUAUCUGGUCUGUAACUGACACUGAGGCGCGAAAGCGUGGGGAGCAAACAGGAUUAGAUACCCUGGUAGUCCACGCCGUAAACGAUGAGUGCUAAGUGUUAGGGGGUUUCCGCCCCUUAGUGCUGCAGCUAACGCAUUAAGCACUCCGCCUGGGGAGUACGGUCGCAAAGACUGAAACUCAAAAGGAAUUGACGGGGGCCCGCACCAAGCGGUGGAGCAUGUGGUUUAAUUUCGAAGCAACGCGAAGAACCUUACCAGGUCUUGACAUCCCGUUGACCCACUGUAGAAGAUAUGGUUUCCCCUUCGGGGGCAACGGUGACAGGUGGUGGCAUGGUUGGCGUCAGCUCGUGUCGUGAGAUGUUGGGUUAAGUCCCGCAACGAGCGCAACCCUUGAUCUUAGUUGCCAUCAUUUAGUUGGGCACUUUAAGGUGACUGCCGGUGACAAACCGGAGGAAGGUGGGGAUGACGUCAAAUCAUCAUGCCCCUUAUGACCUGGGCUACACACGUGCUACAAUGGACGAUACAAACGGUUGCCAACUCGCGAGAGGGAGCUAAUCCGAUAAAGUCGUUCUCAGUUCGGAUUGUAGGCUGCAACUCGCCUACAUGAAGCCGGAAUCGCUAGUAAUCGCGGAUCAGCAUGCCGCGGUGAAUACGUUCCCGGGCCUUGUACACACCGCCCGUCACACCACGAGAGUUUGUAACACCCGAAGUAAAAGGGAGGUAACCUUUUGGAGCCUAGGCCCCGCCU
rnacentral:rRNA from 1 species